GGGGGGGCAUUUAUGUCGGCACGGCGAUAGGGGACCUCGAGUGCCAGGUUACAAAUCUGGCUGUCGUGAUGCCUAAAAAGCAUUGCAUAGCAAGGGCCGGGCAAGACCGGUGCCAGCCGCCGCGGUAACACCGGCGGCUCGAGUGGUAACCGUUAUUAUUGGGUCUAAAGGGUCUGUAGCCGGCCGGAUAAGUCUCUUGGGAAAUCUGGCAGCUUAACUGUCAGGCUUUCAGGAGAUACUGUCUGGCUCGAGGCCGGGAGAGGUGAGAGGUACUUCAGGGGUAGGGGUGAAAUCUUGUAAUCC
rnacentral:rRNA from 1 species